rnacentral:SRP_RNA from 1 species
GCCGGGCGCAGUGGCGCGUGCCUGUAGUCCCAGCUACUCGGGAGGCUGAGGCAGGAGGAUCGCUUGAGCCCAGGAGUUCUGGGCUGUAGUGCGCUAUGCCGAUCGGGUGUCCGCACUAAGUUCGGCAUCGAUAUGGUGGCCUCCUGGGAGCGGGGGACCACCAGGUUGCCUAAGGAGGGGUGAACCGGCCCAGGUCGGAAAUGGAGCAGAUCAAAAGUGAUGCUGCCUGAUGGGCCAGGAGGGGCAUCUGGCUUGACAUCAACAGCAGGGCUUGGAUGGGUACAGUUUUGGCAUUAA